rnacentral:rRNA from 1 species
GGCGGUUCGCCGCCGGCGACGUCGCGAGAAGUCCACUGAACCUUAUCAUUUAGAGGAAGGAGAAGUCGUAACAAGGUUUCCGUAGGUGAACCUGCGGAAGGAUCAUUGUCGCAACCUUUGCAAGCACAACUGUGGACAUGUUGUUAAACAGGGAGUCAUGUGAUCUUUAUGAUCACCUUGGCCCUCCAUCGAUUGGUGUGGUGCAAGUGCUUCUGCAUGAGCUCCUGCACCAAUUGAUCAAACGAACCCCGGCGCGGACAGCGCCAAGGAAUCAAUAAGAAGUGAUCUGCCCUUUGCCUCCUUCAUCAGGAGGCAAUGUGACGUGAUCAAUCAAAUAUCAUAACGACUCUCGGCAACGGAUAUCUCGGCUCUCGCAUCGAUGAAGAACGUAGCGAAAUGCGAAACUUGGUGUGAAUUGCAGAAUCCCGUGAACCAUCGAGUUUUUGAACGCAAGUUGCGCCCAAAGUCAUUAGGCGGAGGGCACGUCUGCCUGGGCGUCACGCAAUGUGUUGCCCCUCUCUGGAGUCUUGCUAUAUUGCAGAUUGUAAGUGUGGGGCGUAGCUUGGCCUCCCGUGAGUUCAUCUUGCGGAUGGCUUAAACAAAGAGCCUUACGAUGACAAUGUCACGACAAGUGGUGGUUGGUGAAGGCUCAUGUGGUCUCUAAGACUUUGCAUGUCGUGCAUUUUGUAUUGUCGGUUUGCUCUAGAUGAACCCAAAGGUGUCAGAUUUCAUGACAUCAACAUCGCGACCCCAGGUCAGGCGGGACUACCCGCUGAAUUUAAGCAUAUCAAUAAG